GAUGAAGAACGCAGCGAAAUGCGAUAAGUAAUGUGAAUUGCAGAAUUCAGUGAAUCAUCGAAUCUUUGAACGUACCUUGCGCCCUUUGGCCAUUCCGAAGGGCAUGCCUGUUUGAGUAUCAUGAACACCUCAACUCUUCAUGGUUUUCCGUGAUGAGCUUGGACUUUGGGGGUCUUGCUGGCCUAUGGUCAGCUCCUCUAAAAUAAAUCAGCUUGCCAGUGUUUGGUGGGUAUCACAGGUGUGAUAACUAUCUACGCUUGUGGUUUUCCACCAGGUAACCUUCAGCAGUGGAGGUUCGCUGGAGCUCACAGAUGUGUCUCUCCUCAGUGAGGACAGCUCUUUGAAUGUUUGAUCUCAAAUCAGGUAGGACUACCCGCUGAACUUAAGCAUAUCAAUAAGCGGAGGA
rnacentral:misc_RNA from 1 species